AGCACAGGAUCCGAACUAGCAGGAGAUGACCUGGUGAUGGACACUGGCAAGACGAGCGCCCCUGUUGCGAGCAGUGCUAGUGUCAGCACUUGUCACCCCACCAGCACCUCCACCUCCUCCAUC
rnacentral:ribozyme from 1 species